GACGAACGCUGGCGGCGUGCUUAACACAUGCAAGUCGAACGGAAAGGCCCUGCUUUUGUGGGGUGCUCGAGUGGCGAACGGGUGAGUAACACGUGAGUAACCUGCCCUUGACUUUGGGAUAACUUCAGGAAACUGGGGCUAAUACCGGAUAGGAGCUCCUGCUGCAUGGGGGGGGUUGGAAAGUUUCGGCGGUUGGGGAUGGACUCGCGGCUUAUCAGCUUGUUGGUGGGGUAGUGGCUUACCAAGGCUUUGACGGGUAGCCGGCCUGAGAGGGUGACCGGGCACAUUGGGACUGAGAUACGGCCCAGACUCCUACGGGAGGCAGCAGUGGGGAAUAUUGCACAAUGGGCGGAAGCCUGAUGCAGCAACGCCGCGUGCGGGAUGACGGCCUUCGGGUUGUAAACCGCUUUAGCCUGUGACGAAGCGUGAGUGACGGUAAUGGGUAAAGAAGCACCGGCUAACUACGUG
rnacentral:rRNA from 1 species